AAUCAGCCCCGAUAGCAGAGGAAAUCCUUUUUUGUCACGUUUUUUUCAGACGAGACAAAAAAGAUUGCAACGGAUAGCGGGAGAAAUG
rnacentral:sRNA from 1 species